ACUGGUGACGGCACUUUCUUGCCUCCUAAGCAAUACAGAGCCUUGUUCCUUUACUAGGAGGAAUGAAGAACAUAUCCUGCACCCUGGAUGCAUUUGUGUUUCAGGGAUGGAAGAGCAUAGUGAAACCUUCCUGGUACGAGGGUGCUGGGGCCAGCCACUAGAAGGCAACGUGAUCACACAAACAGCCAAAUGUUACGCUUCCUCAGAACUAGUUAAGCUGAAGCCCUCACUUCUGCUCAAUGCAAUCACUUUUUGUCGCUCAUAUGUGUAAUUAGUAGGGGUUCUAUUAAAAAUGUAGAGUUCUGCAGUGAUUGUGGCACCAUGACGUUUGAGAGGCAAAGCAAAAGAAGAGGCUGUGGCCACUGCUGGCAUGCAGGCAUUUCUGCGUUGUUGGGAUUCAACAGCACUUACUGUAUUUAUCAGCUGUGUUUGCAAACUGGGCUGAUAGCAAUUUACUGGAAAAUAGUUAAAUGCAAAUAAUAGUCUCUUGAUUAUCACUACUGGUUUCUUAGACCUGAAGCUCCAUAUGACUGUGUGAAGGGGAUUUGCUCUGCCAGCUUGCUUCUGUGGACGAUUAGUAACAAACAACUUGUCUCUAUCAGGAAUUUAAUGCUGCCAAAACGCAGUUAAUAUAUCCAUAUGCCUGGGUGGAUACACGACUACAAAAUAGAUGCAGUGCUCCUGUUUCACCUUUUCCCUUUCAUCUCUCUUGUAGCUGAAAGACCCAACAGAUGGUCCUUUCUGUGUUUGUGUGUUAAAACUGGCAUAAAGCUGCCUCUAAGUUUUUUCUGCCUUUUAAUUCUCAAGAAAACAUCUAAAUGGAGGAAGUCUGCUCUGUGGAUCAAAAGAACGGAGCCCAAUUAGCAUGGCUCUCUGCUCGCAGAGUGCUGCCUCAAACUAAGCACCUGCCACAAGCUGAAGGCUGGAAGAGCAGCCACCAUGUCACUCCCAGAACAUCUUGCUCAACUGUGUGCAGGGGAGGGAAAGAAACCAGAGGGGGAAGAAUCCCAGCAGCAGCCCAGGUCUCAUACAUGAAGCCUCACCUUCUUCAGAAUAGUAAGAAGGGAUCAAAGAAUCAAGGGUUUUGAGGAACCAAAAUGCAAGCCAGAGAAAAAAAUAUUAAUUUGAAGGUAUGCCUUAUUGGUUGUCUUAAGUGUAGUGUUUCCAUUCAAUGAAAUUAAAUGUACAUUCCCAUAAUUAAUUCCCUUUUCUGGCAGUUACAUCAAUUAGCAUGUAACAUGGAUAAAGAGAAGAGGCAGUGGUUGGUAUUUUGCCUUCAGCAGCCGGCAGUGCAAUAUGUUAAGCCAUCAAGUGGUAUAUGUACUGCAGAUCAUUUCUCCCUUUGAAAAAAAUGUGCCUGCCAUUAAGGCACUAGCAAAGAAAAUCGAGCCAGGAGUUUAAGGCAAAGGGGCAGUGCUUCAAAUGUACAUUUUAUGCUGCUAAAGAGAUCCACAGUACUGUGACCAAAAUCCCAUUAAAUGGAACACUUUCUAUUUAAAUCAUCCCAUGACAUGUUUCUGGUAUUACAGUACCGGAGAGGCACAUAACUGUCAGGCUUAGAGACUGCUCUUCUUUUCUUCCCUGAAUGGCUCUGCAGACUCAGACUGUCACUUCCAGUUCAGGAUCUCAGGCUAAGUGCUAAACUUCUGGGCUGAACAAUGCCUUACCUCUGCCUGCCUUAACUUGCAUACCCAGCAAGAAAUUAACAACUUCCUUCUCAAGUGAGAAAACCCUCUCUCCCCUUCCAUCAGCCCUGCUGUACGUCCCUCACGGGAUGGACUCCAGCAUGGUGUUACUGUGGGGUGCAUUGCCCACCCUUCAUGGGCAGUGUUAACCUGGCCAGCAGUGCGUGAUCAGGUAUAACUCAGAUGAGAAGCUGUUGGUUGCUGCUUUUGCAGUC
rnacentral:lncRNA from 1 species